CUCUUCAGUUUCUCGGAAGGACUCUGAAACUCACUAACGAAGAACACUAUUUAUAAGCAAAACUAGUGAUGAAUCCAACCAGUGGAUCAACAUGGCUAACAUUUGGAUACCAGGGCUCAAAUUCUCCAAUCCAUUUAUCAGAUUUCAAGAGUUCAAACAGUUUGAGAAGCGUGUGAUCAUUAAGUAGGGCUAGAGAAAACUAACACAACUUUCACUACCAUACAUCCUUAAUUUUUGUUUGUUUUUUCAUGGCGAUUCUUUGGAUCAGACCCUAAGCUUGCCUCCGGAGGACAUUUUAAAAUGUUUUCAUCUGUUGUUUGUGGAUGCAGAAAAAGAUAAAGGAUCUCGUCCAAAGCAUGAUAAUCAACCAGUCAAGGCUCCAGAAAAACCAGCCAAGGAUACAGGGUCUGAUCCAGAUAAUCUCCAUGAAAAACCAGACAAAAAUUAACUAGAGGACGUAGCAUAGAUGUACGGUAGUGAAAGUUGUGUUAGUUUGCUCUAGCCCUGCUUAGCAGUCACACGCUUGCCAAACUGUUUUUGAAGUCUUGGGAUAUGAUAAAUCAAUGUUCUGCUAAAGUGCAGAAUGAUCUGCCUUGUUUGUUCUGCCAUAUAUAAAGCAAGCCUGGUGAUUGUACCUAGUUAUUUUAUACGAUAUGGUAAAAUAUAUAACUAGUGCAUUUAACCUGA